AGCGUUGUUCGGAAUUACUGGGCGUAAAGGGCGCGUAGGCGGACAGUUUAGUCAGAGGUGAAAGCCCAGGGCUCAACCUUGGAAUUGCCUUUGAUACUGGCUGUCUUGAGUUCGGGAGAGGUGAGUGGAAUGCCGAGUGUAGAGGUGAAAUUCGUAGAUAUUCGGCGGAACACCAGUGGCGAAGGCGACUCACUGGCCCGAUACUGACGCUGAGGCGCGAAAGCGUGGGGAGCAAACAGG
rnacentral:rRNA from 1 species